rnacentral:rRNA from 1 species
AUGAACGCUGGCGGCGUGCCUAAUACAUGCAAGUCGAGCGAACGGACGGGAAGCUUGCUUCUCUGAUGUUAGCGGCGGACGGGUGAGUAACACGUGGAUAACCUACCUAUAAGACUGGGAUAACUUCGGGAAACCGGAGCUAAUACCGGAUAAUAUUUUGAACCGCAUGGUUCAAAAGUGAAAGACGGUCUUGCUGUCACUUAUAGAUGGAUCCGCGCUGCAUUAGCUAGUUGGUAAGGUAACGGCUUACCAAGGCAACGAUGCAUAGCCGACCUGAGAGGGUGAUCGGCCACACUGGAACUGAGACACGGUCCAGACUCCUACGGGAGGUAGCAGUAGGGAAUCUUCCGCAAAGGGCGAAAGCCUGACGGAGCAACGCCGCGUGAGUGAUGAAGGUCUUCGGAUCGUAAAACUCUGUUAUUAGGGAAGAACAUAUGUGUAAGUAACUGUGCACAUCUUGACGGUACCUAAUCAGAAAGCCACGGCUAACUACGUG